CUGUACGUCAUCCUGAAAAUUAUUUUGCUGCAAAAACAAACAAACAAACAAUGAAAAAAAACAAAACAGAGGGACUUGUGUAUCUUGGCUUGGGUACGGCACACAUGUCCAUCUCGGCCGCCAGACGCACUCAUGUGUUGCCCAUCUUUGCAGCCGAGGAAGUUUGCAUUUCUUGCUGUAACUUUUAAACUUUACAGUGCUGUUAACUUAGCAUUUUUAAUAAUGGACCCAAGUGUUAUUUAGAAAUUCAGAUCUGGGGGGGGGGGGGGGAUCUUCUGCCCCCAGCCAUGACAAAUGGAAGGGGUGACUGUAUAUACAGAUAUACACACGUUAUUGCAACACAUUCUAGUUUGGCCCAGAAUUUUAGAACACUAAGAAUGAUCAGAUGUCCCCAGAUAAGGUGAAAAUCCUUUUGUAGGUCAACAAAGCUCUUCAGAGAGCUAAGAGACCUGUAAAGUUGCAGGUGGCAGAGUACUGUGGUUACUGGGAGGAGCACACUUCCAGCGAGGGGGACACAGUGCCCAGAAAGCCCGCAUUCACCUCCACCGGCCCAUCGCUCGCCUCCCUCGGGGGAGGAGACACUCACUCUUUAUGCGUCCCCACCCCGGGAGGUCAGAGUCGGCAGAGAGGGGGAUUCUCCUCAGGGAGUCACAGAACACCUGGCAGAGCAAGGGGGAGAUGCUGCGAGGGGAUAGGGGAGGAGGACCACCCAGAGAUCUAUCUGUGUAACCAACCAGAUUCAAGGAUGACAGGGAGGCAACAGAAAAAGUACCCAUAGCAACGGUGACUCCUACACCCCCCUGCACACACACGGUAACUACAUAUCUUUAUGGGGACUCACCAUUCAUUUCUAUGGGCAUAACUCUAACUAUAAAAACCUUAAUCCUAACCCAGCCCCAACUUUAAAUCAUAAGUAACCAAGAAAUAUGCAAGACUUUUGCCUAUUUUUUAUUAGUCAGAUUUUUAUAUUAUAUUGAGGUUUAUACUGCGAGGACCGGAAAACAUCCCCACAAGUAAUAUUUGGUCCCUACAAUGUGGUAAACACAAAAAAACAUGCAGACGCACAUAGACACACAAAAAAUUUAAAUACCAUGACCGAGCGAGGACAACAAAGGCAGAUACAGCAGCAAAAGCAUUAAACCACCCAAACACAACAGGCAAGGGAAGGAAAAAUAAAGAUAAAUCGCAGAAGCAAAAAUUAGAAUGGAUCUAGAGGUCAGACAUAAGAGCAACGGGCAUCAAGACAUUCCUGAGGGCGACGGCUUGGGCUGUGCGACAGUCUAACAGGAAGGCGAGGCACCAUCAGCGUAAUGAGUUAUGAGUUUUUCCGACAUCAAGGCCAACGCCGGCAUGCAGAAGGAAGCCAUUUAAAAUGAUUUUGGAGGCUCCAGCACGGUUUCGCACAUGAAUCUAAUUUAGAAUAUUACAAAGAAGGCCAACAUGAAAGAUAAGUUUGCUGGGCUGCUCGUUCCUUUAGCGUCAGAAUCCGGAACUGAAAAACAGGGAGAACAGAUGUACGUCGAAACGAAUGAUGAGGGCAACAGCAAGAAAGCGAGUGCAGAUUAAUAGCAGACCCCCGGAACUUAGCAAAUCAAUAGGGCAACUUCAAAACAAAAGCUUUUCAUAAAGUCAGCGGAUUACAAACCGCACCUAUGCCGUACGUUUGAAAUCACAGGGUUUCAUGUUGCUUUCUUCCCUAGAAAGGAGAGCAGCCCGCGAUUUACCCGCUGACGUGGACACCCCCCAGCACCAGAGUGGCACCCCCAGGAGGAUAUUCAUGGAAAAAAAGACACACAAAUCAAGGUCGGAGGAACUGUUCUCACCUCAGACGCGGACCGUGGAAAAUAUCUUGUGACUCCCAGAAGUUUCGUUACAGCUCACGGCUUCAGAUCUUACAGAUGUGUGGGGCGAUUAAAUGAAGGCUCGUGGUGCCCACAGAAGUGAGAGCUCCCUUUUAAUAAUUGAAGAGAGACUAAUACAGACCACCAAAUGAAAAAAGAAAGGAAAAAUAACCACAAUGGCUUCUAGGUAAACACUCUCACAGUAUCGCCCCCCCCCCCCCCCAUUCCUCGCCUCAUGAACAAACGGUCUUUCCCAGAGUCCUUAACAAGCUGCCAAUGGCGAGCCUGCCAUCGCUGCCCGGCCGAAAUAUGAAGACAGCGUGGAACAAAUACAGCCAUAGAAGGAACAAAAUACUUCUACUAAUAAAGCAAAGUGGCAGAACCUGAGCAAAGAAGCACAGGAACAAAAAGAGAAGGGAGAAAUUUUGAUGGGUGGGUUAAAACUUGAUAAGCGCUAUGAGCAGACUGGGAAUGUCAGACACCUCAGGCCUAACAGGGGUACGUAGAAGCUAGAAGACUCUUACUAUAACUAUCUUCAAAAAUGUAAGAACAUUACAGCCCACUCAGGCGAAAACCUGGGUCAUCAGGAAGACCCCCCCCGGACCAAAUCUGCAGAUCCCUCCCAAAGGCAGCUGCUGAAAUGCUUUCGGCAUGAUCAGCAUGGGUCCAGCUCACCAGGGACGACAAAGAGAAACAGGAAAUGGUCACUGCUCAGGUAUCGAAGUGGACAGUCAGAUUUUAGGGUCUUACGAGUGGCAAAGAUGUCAGAAAAGUACCGUUCUAGCCAACUAUGAAGCUACUAAAGCCCAAUGAGUAAAAAUAUCUAAAAUUCAAAGGGAAUAGUUUUAUAAAUCCCAGGAUAUACAAACAAUUCCUUGUUUAAACACUUUCACAUGUCGGAACUCAUUUAGUCAAAAAGGAAUUGCAGAAAUACAUUCAGCGUUAGCCUGUGACUCUCGUCUAGAUAAA